rnacentral:rRNA from 1 species
AGUGAACGCUGGCGGUAGGCCUAACACAUGCAAGUCGAACGGCAGCACAGUAAGAGCUUGCUCUUACGGGUGGCGGGUGGCGGACGGGUGAGGAAUACAUCGGAAUCUACUUUUUCGUGGGGGAUAACGUAGUGAAACUUACGCUAAUACCGCAUACGACCUACGGGUGAAAGCAGGGGAUCUUCGGACCUUGCGCGAUUGAAUGAGCCGAUGUCGGAUUAGCUAGUUGGCGGGGUAAAGGCCCACCAAGGCGACGAUCCGUAGCUGGUCUGAGAGGAUGAUCAGCCACACUGGAACUGAGACACGGUCCAGACUCCUACGGGAGGCAGCAGUGGGGAAUAUUGGACAAUGGGCGCAAGCCUGAUCCAGCCAUACCGCGUGGGUGAAGAAGGCCUUCGGGUUGUAAAGCCCUUUUGUUGGGAAAGAAAAGCAGCAGGUUAAUACCCCGCUGUUCUGACGGUACCCAAAGAAUAAGCACCGGCUAACUUCGUG